rnacentral:rRNA from 1 species
UGGCUCAGGAUGAACGCUAGCGGCAGGCUUAACACAUGCAAGUCGAGGGGCAGCGUGAGGGUUAGCAAUAACCCUUGACGGCGACCGGCGCAAGGGUGCGUAACGCGUGAGCAACUUGCCUCCAUCAGUGGGAUAACCUCCGGAAACGGAGACUAAUACCUCAUGGUUUCCGAUUGCGGCAUCGCAGUUGGAAUAAAGAUUUAUCGGAUGGAGAUAGGCUCGCGUGACAUUAGGUAGACGGCGGGGUAACGGCCCACCGUGCCGACGAUGUCUAGGGGUUCUGAGAGGAAGGUCCCCCACACUGGAACUGAGACACGGUCCAGACUCCUACGGGAGGCAGCAGUGAGGAAUAUUGGUCAAUGGCCGAGAGGCUGAACCAGCCAUGCCGCGUGAAGGAUGUUGCCCUAUGGGUCUUAAACUUCUUUUGCUGCAGAGCAAUAAGUCAUACGUGUAUGACGAUGAGAGUAUGCAGCGAAUAAGCACCGGCUAACUCCGUGCCAGCAGCCGCGGUAAUACGGAGGGUGCAAGCGUUAUCCGGAUUUAUUGGGUUUAAAGGGUGCGUAGGCUGUGUCUUAAGUCAGCGGUGAAAUGUCAGGGCUCAACCUUGAGACUGCCGUUGAUACUGGGAUGCUGGAGUACGGAUGCCGCCGGAGGAAUGUGUGGUGUAGCGGUGAAAUGCAUAGAUAUCACACAGAACACCGAUUGCGAAGGCAUCUGGCGAAUCCGUAACUGACGCUGAAGCACGAAAGCGCGGGUAUCAAACAGGAUUAGAUACCCUGGUAGUCCGCGCUGUAAACGAUGAUGGCUAACCGUGGGCGAUAGACUGUCCGUGGCCAAGCGAAAGCGAUAAGCCAUCCACCUGGGGAGUACGGCCGCAAGGCUGAAACUCAAAGGAAUUGACGGGGGCCCGCACAAGCGGAGGAACAUGUGGUUUA